rnacentral:rRNA from 1 species
UACGUAGGGGGCAAGCGUUGUCCGGAUUUAUUGGGCGUAAAGAGCGUGUAGGCGGCUUUACAGGUCCGUUGUGAAAACUCGAGGCUCAACCUCGAGACGCCGGUGGAAACCGUAAAGCUAGAGUCCGGAAGAGGCGAGUGGAACUCCUGGUGUAGCGGUGGAAUGCGCAGAUAUCAGGAGGAACACCAAUGGCGAAGGCAGCUCGCUGGGACGGUACUGACGCUGAAGCGCGAAAGCGUGGGGAGCAAACAGG